UACCCUUUCCUCCUCCACCCUCCUCCACCCUCCUCUGAGAACUCACCCAGGCCAUUUAGCGCACCUCCCAGGGCCAAAGCCUGCCCACCUGGGAGCGAAGAGUACUCCAUUAGUAGUCCUCAAGAUCAAGAAACUUACUGGAUUUUAACAUGUGGUAGGAAAAAACUGUGUGUGUGUGUGUGUGUGUGUGUGUGUGUGUGUGUGUCUGUGUGUGUGCAUACACUAUGUGGGCAUGGGGGGAUAAGGGUCUGAAAGUGUAGGAGUAACAGAA
rnacentral:lncRNA from 1 species